AUUUAUAUAGUUUAAAAAAAAACCUUACAGUUUCAUUGUAAAAUUAGAUUAAUUCUUAUAAAUA
rnacentral:tRNA from 1 species